UAUACGGAGAGUUUGAUUCUGGCUCAGAAUGAACGCUGGCGGCGUGGAUAAGACAUGCAAGUCGAACGAGAAAACUGAUUAGUUUACUAAGAUGUUUUCUAGUGGCGGACGGGUUAGUAACACGUGAGCAACUUGCCUCGAAGCGGGGGAUAGCCUUCCGAAAGGGAGAUUAAUACCGCAUGUGGCCCCCUUUUAUUAGGGUGGUUAAAGGUGCCUUCGGGUAUCGCUUCGAGAUGGGCUCGCGGCCUAUCAGCUUGUUGGUGAGGUAAUGGCUCACCAAGGCUACGACGGGUAGCUGGUCUGAGAGGACGAUCAGCAACACUGGAACUGAGACACGGUCCAGACACCUACGGGUGGCAGCAGUCGAGAAUCAUUCACAAUGGGGGCAACCCUGAUGGUGCAACGCCGCGUGGAGGAUGAAGGCCCUAGGGUCGUAAACUCCUGUCAUAUGAGAGUAAGGCAUAUGUGUUAAUACCAUGUAUGUUUGAUAGUAUCAUAAGAGGAAGGGACGGCUAACUUCGUGCCAGCAGCCGCGGUAAUACGAAGGUCCCGAGCGUUAUUCGGAAUCACUGGGCGUAAAGAGUACGUAGGCGGUUUGGUAAGUCAGGUGUGAAAUCCCGGAGCUCAACUCCGGAACUGCAUCCGAUACUGCUAGACUUGAGUAAUGGAGGGGCAGGUGGAAUUCUCGGUGUAGCAGUGAAAUGCGUGGAUAUCGAGAGGAAGACCAAUGGCGAAGGCAGCCUGCUGGACAUUUACUGACGCUGAGGUACGAAGGCCAGGGUAGCGAAAGGGAUUAGAUACCCCUGUAGUCCUGGCAGUAAACGGUGCGCGCUUGGUGUAGGAGGACUCGACCCCUUCUGUGCCGGAGCUAACGCGUUAAGCGCGCCGCCUGGGGAGUACGGUCGCAAGACUAAAACUCAAAGAAAUUGACGGGGACCCGCACAAGCGGUGGAGUAUGUGGCUUAAUUCGAUGCAACGCGAAGAACCUUACCAAGGCUUGACAUGUAUUGCUAAGCACGUGAAAGCGUGUGACCCUUCGGGGACCUUACACAGGUGCUGCAUGGCCGUCGUCAGCUCGUGUCGUGAGAUGUUUGGUUAAGUCCAGCAACGAGCGCAACCCCUGUGAAUAGUUGCCAGCACGUAAUGGUGGGGACUCUAUUCAGACUGCCCAGGUCAACUGGGAGGAAGGUGGGGAUGACGUCAGGUCAGUAUGGCCCUUACGCCUUGGGCUGCACACGUACUACAAUGCCCAGUACAAUGAGAACCGAGACCGCGAGGUGGAGGAAAUCUGCAAAACUGGGCCCAGUUCGGAUUGGAGGCUGCAACUCGCCUCCAUGAAGUUGGAAUCGCUAGUAAUGGCACAUCAGCUACGGUGCCGUGAAUACGUUCCCGGGUCUUGUACACACCGCCCGUCACAUCAUGGAAGCCGGUCGCACCCGAAGUAUCUGCGCUAACUAUUUAUAGAAGCAAGGUCCUAAGGUGUAGCUGGUAACUGGGAUGAAGUCGUAACAAGGUAGCCGUAGGGGAACCUGCGGCUGGAUCAUCUCCUUU
rnacentral:rRNA from 1 species